rnacentral:rRNA from 1 species
CCUACGGGUGGCUGCAGUGGGGAAUAUUGGACAAUGGGCGAAAGCCUGAUCCAGCCAUGCCGCGUGUGUGAAGAAGGCCUUCGGGUUGUAAAGCACUUUCAGUGGGGAAGAAAGCCUUGGGGCUAAUACCCUCGAGGAAGGACAUCACCCACAGAAGAAGCACCGGCUAACUCCGUGCCAGCAGCCGCGGUAAUACGGAGGGUGCGAGCGUUAGUCGGAAUUACUGGGCGUAAAGCGCGCGUAGGCGGUCUGAUAAGCCGGUUGUGAAAGCCCCGGGCUCAACCUGGGAACGGCAUCCGGAACUGUCAGGCUAGAGUGCAGGAGAGGAAGGUAGAAUUCCCGGUGUAGCGGUGAAAUGCGUAGAGAUCGGGAGGAAUACCAGUGGCGAAGGCGGCCUUCUGGACUGACACUGACGCUGAGGUGCGAAAGCGUGGGUAGCAAACAGGAUUAGAUACCCCAGUAGUC